rnacentral:rRNA from 1 species
ACCGGCGGCUCGAGUGGUGGCCACUAUUACUGGGCUUAAAGCGUUCGUAGCUGGCUUGUUAAGUCUCUGGGGAAAUCUUCCGGCUCAACCGGAAGGCGUCUCAGGGAUACUGGCAGGCUAGGGACCGGAAGAGGUGAGAGGUACUCCAGGGAGGGGGGUGAACCGGGACGGACCCGGGGGGAAGACCUGAGGGGGGGGGGAGCCAACCGGAUUAGAUCGCCUUGUAGUACGGUGACUUGCUAAAGCAAGGAG